AUAGGGACAAGCGAAUAAGUGCACAUGGUGGAUGCCUUGGCGAUUACAGGCGAUGAAGGACGUAGUAGCUUGCGAUAAGCUGCGGGGAGUGAGCAAACACACUUUGAUCCGCAGAUUUCCGAAUGGGGCAACCCACCCUUUUAGGGUAUUGCAUACUGAAUACAUAGGUAUGCAAGGCGAACGCGGCGAACUGAAACAUCUAAGUAGCUGCAGGAAAAGAAAUCAACCGAGAUUCCCAAAGUAGCGGCGAGCGAAAUGGGAAGAGCCUGUACGUGAUAGUCGGACCGAUAACAGAAUCCUCUGGAAAUAGGAGCCAUAGCGGGUGAUAGCCCCGUAUGUGAAAUCGGACCGGUGGUACUAAGCGUACGACAAGUAGGGCGGGACACGUGACAUCCUGUCUGAAUAUGGGGGGACCAUCCUCCAAGGCUAAAUACUCGUAAUCGACCGAUAGUGAACCAGUACCGUGAGGGAAAGGCGAAAAGAACCCCGGAAGGGGAGUGAAAUAGAUCCUGAAACCGUGUGCAUACAAACAGUAGGAGCGGACUUGUUCCGUGACUGCGUACCUUUUGUAUAAUGGGUCAGCGACUUACAUUCAGUGGCAAGGUUAACCGUAUAGGGAAGCCGUAGAGAAAUCGAGUCCGAAUAGGGCGAUCAGUCGCUGGGUGUAGACCCGAAACCAAGUGAUCUACUCAUGGCCAGGAUGAAGGUGCGGUAACACGCCCUGGAGGUCCGAACCCACUAAUGUUGAAAAAUUAGGGGAUGAGCUGUGGGUAGGGGUGAAAGGCUAAACAAACUUGGAAAUAGCUGGUUCUCUCCGAAAACUAUUUAGGUAGUGCCUCAAGUAUCACCAUCGGGGGUAGAGCACUGUUAUGGCUAGGGGGUCAUUGCGACUUACCAAACCAUUGCAAACUCCGAAUACCGAUGAGUGCGAGCUUGGGAGACAGACGUCGGGUGCUAACGUCCGGCGUCAAGAGGGAAACAACCCAGACCGCCAGCUAAGGUCCCAAAGAUUGGCUAAGUGGAAAACGAAGUGGGAAGGCUAAAACAGUCAGGAUGUUGGCUUAGAAGCAGCCAUCAUUUAAAGAAAGCGUAAUAGCUCACUGAUCGAGUCGUCCUGCGCGGAAGAUGUAACGGGGCUAAGCCAGUCACCGAAGCUGCGGAUAU
rnacentral:rRNA from 2 species